CUCACCCUUACUGGCAAUAACACAGAUGCUGGAAUCAGAUGACUGAUGUUUUCUGUCUUGCCUGGAGCUGUUUAUGUUCUGCCUUAUUUGUUAAAAGCCAGAAGCAUCUCUGAGAACAAUCAGAUGUUCACGUCUUCUACAGAAAUUUAAUGACCAUUGUGUCAAUUUCUUCACAGUUCUCCCCCAUUGGCAUGCUGAUAAAUGAGAGUCUGAAGCUUUGACAUAAAAACCUAAACUCUACCUUUGCAAUGAAAAAUUGGACCAUACAUGCAGGACUUUUUAAACAUUCUUUAGAGAGUUGAGGUCAGAGCAAACAACUGCCUGAAAAGCCAAAGAUCAACAGCGCCUUGA
rnacentral:lncRNA from 1 species